rnacentral:tRNA from 1 species
GGUCUUAUAUUCAUAAAAAGUGAUUAUAGAAUGCAAUUCUAUAGGGGUAAAUUUUACUAAGACUU